GACAGAGGUGCCGAGCGUUAGGCGGAAUCACUGGGCUUAAAGCGUGUGUAGGCGGAUGCCUAAGUACCUUGUGAAAUCCCACGGCUCAACCGUGGAACUGCUUGGUAUACUGGGUGUCUUGAGCUAUCUAGGGGCAACCGGAACAAACGGUGGAGCAGUGAAAUGCGUAGAUAUCGUUUGGAACGCCAAUGGUGAAAACAGGUUGCUGGGGAUAUGCUGACGCUGAGACACGAAAGCCAGGGGAGCAAACGGG
rnacentral:rRNA from 1 species